UAGCCUAGUGGCUAAGGCUAUGGAUCGCCAAUCCAGAGACGGCGGGUUCAAUUUCCGU
rnacentral:tRNA from 1 species